rnacentral:rRNA from 1 species
AGAACGAACGCUGGCGGCAUGCCUAACACAUGCAAGUCGAACGAGACCUUCGGGUCUAGUGGCGCACGGGUGCGUAACGCGUGGGAAUCUGCCCUUAGGUACGGAAUAACAGUGAGAAAUUACUGCUAAUACCGUAUGAUGUCUUCGGACCAAAGAUUUAUCGCCUAGGGAUGAGCCCGCGUUGGAUUAGCUAGUUGGUGGGGUAAAGGCCCACCAAGGCGACGAUCCAUAGCUGGUCUGAGAGGAUGGUCAGCCACACUGGGACUGAGACACGGCCCAGACUCCUACGGGAGGCAGCAGUGGGAAUAUUGGACAAUGGGCGAAAGCCUGAUCCAGCAAUGCCGCGUGAGUGAAGAAGGCCUUCGGGUUGUAAAGCUCUUUUACCCGGGAAGAUAAUGACUGUACCGGGAGAAUAAGCCCCGGCUAACUCCGUGCCAGCAGCCGC